rnacentral:rRNA from 1 species
UACAGAGGGCCCAAGCGUUAAUCGGAAUCACUGGGCUUAAAGGGUGCGCAGGCGGACCUGUAAGUGCUUUGUGAAAUCCCACUGCUCAACGGUGGAAUUGCUUGGCAAACUACAGGUCUUGAGCCCGACAGGGGUCAUCGGAACGCUAGGUGGAGCGGUGAAAUGCGUAGAUAUCUAGCGGAACGCCAAAGGUGAAGACAGAUGACUGGGUCGGCGCUGACGCUCAGGCACGAAAGCGUGGGGAGCAAACGGGAUUAGAAACCCCCGUAGUCC